rnacentral:rRNA from 1 species
GAUGAACGCUGGCGGCGUGCCUAAUACAUGCAAGUCGAGCGAACAGACGAGGAGCUUGCUCCUCUGACGUUAGCGGCGGACGGGUGAGUAACACGUGGAUAACCUACCUAUAAGACUGGGAUAACUUCGGGAAACCGGAGCUAAUACCGGAUAAUAUAUUGAACCGCAUGGUUCAAUAGUGAAAGACGGUUUUGCUGUCACUUAAAGAUGGAUCCGCGCCGCAUUAGCUAGUUGGUAAAGUAACGGCUUACCAAGGCGACGAUGCGUAGCCGACCUGAGAGGGUGAUCGGCCACACUGGAACUGAGACACGGUCCAGACUCCUACGGGAGGCAGCAGUAGGGAAUCUUCCGCAAUGGGCGAAAGCCUGACGGAGCAACGCCGCGUGAGUGAUGAAGGUCUUCGGAUCGUAAAACUCUGUUAUUAGGGAAGAACAAAUGUGUAAGUAACUAUGCACGUCUUGACGGUACCUAAUCAGAAAGCCACGGCUAACUACGUG